rnacentral:lncRNA from 1 species
GUUAAUAUCAUGGCAUCUGCUAUGUCUGGGCUCUCACAUGGCUGUUAUAAGAGCUUGUGUUUCCAGAAAACAAGACAACACUAUUCAAACUCUCAUCUUUUCAGUCAUCAUCAGUGUGUGAAAACAGGAUUCUUGAACUCAAAAUAUCCAUGUCUGACCUUUCUCUUGUGUGAGCAUAAGCCAAAACAAAGCAAGCCCUCGGUAAAUGUUAAGACAGAAAUUCUUUGAACAUUGCCGUGCAGAAGGCAGAUACUUCAUACCUGACCUGGCUUCUAGAAUUUAUGGUUGGAAUUACAGAGAUCUAAACUUUCCACAUUCUCAUUGUUGUGUUGUAUUAUGCUUCCUUUUAUUUUAAAUAGUGUAUAUAACUAUCAGGAAACAUCUCACUUGCCAUUUUCCUGAACAAUAGACAUCCAUAAG